CGCCCAGCCGGGCGCCGCCCGGGCCCUCCUGACGUCACGGCCACGCCGGUGGCGUCGGGAGGGGCGGGGCGCGGGCUCGGGGUAAACACUGGGCUGGCGGCGCGUGGGGCUCGAGCCCCUCAGGGAGCGCCGAGUGCGGGGAUCCGCAGUGCGGGAACGGUGGGCGGGCGGGAGGGAGCGAGCCGCGCUCUGCUCCCUGCUGCCAGGCUGUAGGACAAGAGCUGGUGCACAGGAAGUUCCACCUGAACACGAGGAAGAACUUCUUUCCUGUGCGGUUGUUCGGGAAGGCUGUGGAGUCUCCCGUGGUGAAGAUACUCAAGGGCCGUCUGGACGCAGCGCUGUGCCCUGGGCUCUAGGGCGACCCUGCUUGGACAGGGAGGCACUUCGGACUGAAGCCUUGCUGUUCCCUGAAGUGUACCUUCGCCCAAGGGAAGAUGAUCACUGUGGAGGCUCCUCAACACACACAGCUUACAAUGAAGGAUGCUCCUGUCUGCUGGAGUGAAGAUUAUGGAGCACCAGCAGCGCUUUCCAAGUGGAAAUUUCUGAGCAGAAUUUUGACUGUAAGCAUACUAUCUGGAUUCUGAACUCGCUGACAGAUACAGAACUCUUGAAGUUGAACCAGGAGAUGGGAACAACAGUUACAAAGGAAGCACAAGGCUUCUGUAGGAAUAGAAGGGAAAAACAUGCUGGGCAUGUGACAGGACUUUGCUGGGUAUUCAAAGGGUCACACAUGGAAAUGCUAGAAAGGGGAAAAGAUAUUUAUUUAGCUUUUUAAUUCUGUUAAUCCCUAUAAUGUUCUUGGUAUUAGAAUCAGAAUCAGUUCAUCAGUAGAAUCCAGAAUUGUAGUUUAUAUUGAAAGAGAUGUCUAGACAUCACCUAGACCAAGACCUUACGUUUAAUAUCAGGUUGUUCACGGCCAUGUGCAGUGGAGUAUUGAACACCUCCAAGGACAGCACAGUGUUUCCAAAACUUCUCUGGGCUAGCUGUUGCAGUCCUUAUCUUGAGAUAAACAAAUUGCUAAUAAGUACUCAAAACUUCCUGUGGUCCAGCUUGGGAAACACAGGCUCAGUCAAAACCAUCCAUCUCUGAGACAAGUCUGGCCACCAUCUUCUUGGUAUUGUCUUGCUAUUAAGUAGUCUUAUUCAGCCAUAAAGUUUCUUCUUAACUUUUUCUACUCUAAGCUGUGGAGGCUGAACUUUCAACCUCUCCUUAUACACCAGGUUCUCCAGCCCCCUGGCCAUCUUGGUCACCUUUUCAUAGACUCACUUCAGAGUGACAAAAAAAAUGAGCUUCUGUAAUGAGAAGUCCAAAACUGGACAUAGUAACCCAGAUAAGGUCCUGCAACUACCAGACAGAGGAGAAGGGUCACUUCCCUCUUGUAGGUGCUGGCUACACAAUUAGUAGUAGUGCCCAAAGUGUAUGUGGGUGACUCUGCUCAAGGGUACAUUGCUGUUGCAUCCACUUUUUACGUGUUUUAUGUUUAUGUGUUUUAUGUUUAUGGCAGUUUAUGGGGUGUGUGUGGCCUGCUCUGCCGUGAUGGCUUUAGCUUACAUGCUGGAAUAAGCAAACACAGCCUGGAAAACUUUCAGGGUAACAAUAAUGCCAGUCCUAGGUGCUUUCAUGGCUGUUGUUACUGCAAUUCUGCACAUCUCACAGCUUUAAAAUGUUAAACAUUAAUAUUAAUAACUAUAUAUUCAGAAUUCUCACAUGGCUAAGUAAGAUACUGCAGAUCACUGAGGCCAAGAGAAUGAAAGCUGUUGCUUCCAGUUUAUUAAUGGAUUCUAGCCCAUGGCAGAGCAAUUUUUUGAGCUGAACAGAAAGCACUUCAUUCACAACUUAGUGGCCUAAGAUUAAUCUUCUUGUCUGUGCAGAACUUUGGUUCUGGUUAUUCGGUUAUAUUUCUGGCUAUUUAGCAGGUUGUUUGGCUUGAAACUAAUCUCUAAUGUUAGUCAAUGUUGUGUUUGUGUUUGUAAAUUCCAUAUACAUAGACAAAUAAGUGAUCGGGAAUGUGUAAUGAAAGGUUUAUUAUUGUCAGACUUGUAAAGGCCCCAGCAUGAGACAAUCAUUAGGAACCAUAAAUACCUUUAGAGUCUUCAUUUCUUACUGGGUCUCAUGUAGUCCAUAAAGCAUUAUUCUAUUUAUGAUUACUUUAAGGUUUUAAGAAAGAAAUACUUCUCUAUUGCCUGUGUACUGAGAAGAGUUUGACCAGAAAGCCUUCUAAGAAGAGCAAAAUUAUUUUUUUAUUAUGCCAAUGGCCAAGAGAGUGACAAAAUAAUUUUAAAUACAUGCUGUUUUGAUUACUUCAAAUAUAUGUUUAAAGCUUGUUAAGACAGUUGCUGGAAAUCUAUAAUGAUUUCACUUUCUUAAUUGCUCUUAAUUGCCUUUUUGCAUCACUAUUUUCAUAAAAUGGUAGAAGCUCUUAAGUGCAGGAUUUUUUAGCAUGUAUUAUUCAGUUUUGCCUCUAGAUUAUGAUGUGAUCCUGUCUUUUCUUUUUUAAAGAAAAUUCUAGACAUUUAUAUAAAAGUUUUCAUCAUGCAGAAUUGACAAUUUGGCAUACAAUUUGUGAUAACGUUUCAAGUUGCCUUUUGAAAAUGUCCCUGCAUUUUGAAAAUAUGUUUCCUUUCUUAUUUAGCAAUACUGAAACGUCAGAGAAUAAACAUGCUUUUGAUCCAGAUUUUGGUCCUCAGGUGUUUCAGGCAGAUGUUAUUUUUCUUUAUGAAAAAAAAAGCUUUUCAUUUCAGGAAUUAAUUUCAAUAUUAAUAUUAUAAUAUUAAUUUCAAUACUUGGCUAAGUAGCAUUUGUAACUUAAAUAUCAUGAUAACAUACAUUGUGAUAAGAAGUAAAUAUAGCACCACACUGAAAUAAACUUUCUGUAUCAUC